rnacentral:rRNA from 1 species
AUUGAACGCUGGCGGCAUGCUUUACACAUGCAAGUCGGACGAGUGGCGAACGGAUGAGUAACGCAUCGGAACGUACAGAGGAAAGGGGGAUAACUGACCGAAAGGACAGCUAAUACAGCAUAUUAUUCGAGCGGCCGAUGUCGGAUUAGCUGGUGGGCGGGGAAAAGGCCAACCAAGGUGACGAUCAGUAGCGGGUCUGAGAGGAUGAUCCGCCACACUGGGACUGAGACACGGCCCAGACUCAUACGGGAGGCAGCCGUGGGGAAUUUUGGGCAAUGGGCGCAAGCCUGAUCCAGCAAUGCCGCGUGUCUGAAGAAGGCCUUCGGAUUGUAAAGGACUUUUGUCAGGGAAGCGGUACCUAAAGAAUAAGCACCGGCUAACUACGUGCCAGCAGCCGCGGUAAUAC